rnacentral:rRNA from 1 species
UACGGAGGGUGCGAGCGUUGUCCGGAAUCACUGGGCGUAAAGGGCGCGUAGGUGGCCCGUUAAGUGGCUGGUGAAAUCCCGCGGCUCAACUGCGGGGCUGCCGGUCAUACUGGCGAGCUAGAGCACGGUAGGGGCAGAUGGAAUUCCCGGUGUAGCGGUGGAAUGCGUAGAGAUCGGGAAGAAUACCGGUGGCGAAGGCGGCGACCUGGGUCGAUACUGACGCUGAGGUGCGAAAGCGUGGGGAGCAAACAGG